rnacentral:rRNA from 1 species
GAUGAACGCUGGCGGCGUGCUUAACACAUGCAAGUCGAACGAUGAAGCCCAGCUUGCUGGGUGGAUUAGCGGCGAACGGGUGAGUAACACGUGAGUAACCUGCCCUUAACUCUGGGAUAAGCCUGGGAAACUGGGUCUAAUACCGGAUAGGAGCGUCCACCGCAUGGUGGGUGUUGGAAAGAUUUAUCGGUUUUGGAUGGACUCGCGGCCUAUCAGCUUGUUGGUGAGGUAAUGGCUCACCAAGGCGACGACGGGUAGCCGGCCUGAGAGGGUGACCGGCCACACUGGGACUGAGACACGGCCCAGACUCCUACGGGAGGCAGCAGUGGGGAAUAUUGCACAAUGGGCGAAAGCCUGAUGCAGCGACGCCGCGUGAGGGAUGACGGCCUUCGGGUUGUAAACCUCUUUCAGUAGGGAAGAAGCGAAAGUGACGGUACCUGCAGAAGAAGCACCGGCUAACUACGUG